rnacentral:lncRNA from 1 species
AUGGAAAUCAGGGUUGCAGGGGGAGUUUUACCCCAGGUGACCUUUUUCUAAGAGGUGUUAACUUAAUUUAAGAAAAUCUCUGGUAUAAAUAGAUCAGGCUCAGUAUAGCCUAAUUAUAGACCCUUAUAUUUGAGCUUGAAUGGAUUUAUUUAAUGAAAGUAUGCUAGAUUAAUUACUGUGUAUGUCAUUAGCAAUGGCCAAUGUUAUGUAAAAAGAUUAUUUAUUCUUUUCUCUCUCUCUCUCUCUCUCUCUCUCCUGGGAACAAGUUAAAGAUAAAACGCCAGUUGUUAAGAAGUUAAAAUUUGCAUGAAAUAUUUUGAGAUAACCAAGAUAUUAAAAUGUAAAAAAAAAGUAUUUCUAUAAUUUCAUGGGUUCUGAAUGUUUUAAAAGCAGUUGAAAAGUAAUUCUUAUUGCGUGUGAGAGUUCAUGACCUGUAAGAGUUUUUACACUUCCGGGUUAGACCGGAGCGUGAGUGACGAGGAAGAAGGAGCGGAGAGUUAAUGGCGUCGAGCAGCUGACAGUGGACAGUGUGUGUCGUCAGUGUCGUGUUUUAUCACUAACAGACUGUGAGCUGUUGUCGGACGACGUGCUGUGAGUGUGUGAGUUGGACUCUCCAUAACAGUCGAAGUGUUUGUGUUUUAAUGGACACGAAGCAAGUUCGGCUAAGCUAGCUAGCAGGAGCUAAGCUAGCUAGCAAGAGCUAGGCUAGCGGCCCGGCCAUUGUCGAGAGGAGGCCUGCGCGGACGGGAGAAGCUUUGCCGGGUCGCCACGAAGAAUGUCGCCGACGGACGGAGCUUCGCUGCCGCAGAGGGACACGGAGGUUUAUCGCUGCGAGCAUUUUGUUUUCACAGACUAACCUCGGCUCAUAACGAGGCCGCGACCUCCUGUUAGCUCGGAGCCUCGUCUGCAAGUCCAGAUUUACACGAUGCCGAUAAUGACGCCAUUCUGCCUGUAAGACAUUACGAGACAGUACGCAGGACAACAAACAACCAGAUCUUGCAUCGCAGGCAGAAGCUGUGAGGAGUUCAGCUCGGAGUCGAUCGAGGACAAAGAGUGUAAGAUUUAUUAGAUUGGACCCGUCUUUGGUCAAUGUGAUUAUUAUUCUAUCAAAUAAUAUAUGUGUUGUAUCCAUGCGAAGUACUGAUCGUCUUUAUUGAUUGUUUUUACAGCUGCUGGAAGCGAGACAGUGUGCUAGCUGAGGAUGAGGUGGACCUUUAGAAGUUCGCCGCCAUGGACCUGAUGUCUGAGGAGGAAGACGGCACAAGAUGGCGGGUGUCUGGAUGAAUUGUGCGACCUCCGUCCUUUCGCAGCCGGGAGCUCACCGAGCUCUGCGCCACACUGCAGUCACAUGAGAGGCGAUUCCGAAGUAUAGGGCAGCGCACCACAGACGUCUGCAAAAACAGACACUUCGGUGCUGUAGAAUUUUGGGCCUCUUGUGAGUUUCCCGUUUGUUGUGUGGGCAUAUUAUGCUUUGUACAUGCUUUGUGUUUGUGCUAAUAAAACACUUUCUUUGAAUAAACAACUCCUUCCUGGCAAAUGUUCCUUUCCUCAGUAAAUUCAUUCAUGUCAUUGAU